rnacentral:rRNA from 1 species
CCUACGGGAGGCUGCAGUGGGGAAUAUUGCACAAUGGGGGAAACCCUGAUGCAGCAACGCCGCGUGAGCGAUGAAGGCCUUCGGGUCGUAAAGCUCUGUCCUAAGGGAAGAAUAUUGACGGUACCUUAGGAGGAAGCCCCGGCUAACUACGUGCCAGCAGCCGCGGUAAUACGUAGGGGGCUAGCGUUAUCCGGAAUUACUGGGCGUAAAGGGUGCGUAGGCGGCCCUUCAAGUCAGAGGUGAAAGGCUACGGCUCAACCGUAGUAAGCCUUUGAAACUGUAGGGCUUGAGUGCAGGAGAGGGGGGUGGAAUUCCAAGUGUGGCGGUGAAAGGCGUAGAUAUUGGGAGAAACACAAGUUGCGAGGGCGGCUCUCGGGACUGUAACUGACGCUGGGGCACGAAAGCGUGGGGAGCGAACAGUAUUAGAUACCCCGGUAGUC